CCUGAAACCAUCAGUGUCAAUAUGGCUUAGUUAAGACUAUAGCCCAUCUAGUCAAUAUGAGUUAAUUGUUUAUUCCAAUAAACCUUUGCCCAGGAAAGGUGAUAAACAAAACAAACCAAAAGACAGAAACAAUCUAAUUUUUUGUUUACAUAAGUAAGUUCCUAUGGGAUGGAGAUAAUGAUCUGCCUAUGUGGUAAAGAGCUGGGGUAUCAAACAACAGUUUUACUUAUGAAGACUCAUCAAGGCCCUUGUUUGCUGUGUCCACCAAUCCUAAACCAUUUCAUUAACUUUACCAAAUCCAAUCAAUUCCCUGUUUUGACAGAUAUGCCUUAAACCAUUUGUGCACAGGUCCCAAAGCAAUCAAAUGACUUUGGGAAAUAAAAUAUAUCACUACAUUUUCCUGUUGCUUUCCUAGUCGACUAAUUUUAGCUAACUUCUAGUGAGUUACUAUAACAAAAUAUUUCAGAGGUAUGCCUAUUCUCUCUGAAGUAUGUUCACUCAGGAAAAAAAUCUGCAAAAGUCAACAGAAAUUAUGUUGCUCUCAUUUUUUCAUGUAUUUAUAUUUUAUCAUGUUAAAGUAGCUACUCAAUUAGGGCUUACUUGCUUAGACUUCACUUUUGAGUACCUGAGUUUUAAUUUAAUCAAAGACUACACCUGAUAACUUUUCACGGCAAAGCUAAAGUGUUAAUAGUAAGCGUGCAAAGUGCUUGUUUACAUGGGUUUGGGCUUCAGGAACAGAGAGGGAGAAUUUCAUGACCCUUUGGCUUUUUAGGAUGGCAUGUUGCUAAGUUGCUUCAGUCGUAUUCAUCUCUUUGUGACCCACAGGUUGUAGGCCACCAGGCUCCUCUGUCCAUGGGGAUCCCAAAACUCAACAAAUGGCUAAUUUUCUGGUUCUGAGACACAGGGGAAGCCUCAUCUAGAACACAAGAUCUGUUCAAGAAAUUUGUCCUUUCUGAAACAACCUAAGUGUCCAUCAACAGAUGAAUGGAUAAAGAAAAUGAGGUCGUGUAAAACAUAAAGCCAAGAAUGAAACGUCGUUGUCCUAUGGCUUACUCCCAAAAGCUCUCAAUGACUCAACUCACCUAA